rnacentral:lncRNA from 1 species
GGGAGAUGUAAAGAAUGCUGAUCAUAGAAGAAGAAAAAAAAACCCAAAAUCCAAGAGGCCAAGUUUUACAGUGUUAAGAAUGCGUCACAGAUUGUGAGGUGCUGGAAUCUGGCUGCUCCACCCUCCUUUUUGGGUGCUGAGCUGUGAAGACUUGCUUCAGCCACGGAGGAGCGGAAACUGUGAGGCAGGGGACUUCCCCAGGGACUCAUUGAUGCCUUGUAGAAGCACUUGAGAGCCAUGACCAAUAUCUGGGUUUGUGUGUUUCUAGAGGGUAGCACCUGCCUGAGCCAGACAGGAAAAGGUCCAAGUCAGAGCCACCAGGGUAAUGGCUCCAAAGCAGAGGCAGAGGACAGCUGAAUACCCCGAAUAAAGACCCUCUCUGUAGACCAGAUUUGUCCCAGGGUGUAGAAGAGAACUUCACGGUCAGCCAGGAUACCCCCAUCCCAUUUUAUUGCUGCAAUAAGACACCACGACCAAGGCAGCUUAUAGAAGGAAGCAUUUAUUUGAGGUUUACAGUUCCAGGGGGUAAGAGUCCAUCACCAUUGUGGAAGGAGUUUAGCAGCAGGC